CAUGCNGUGANGCGUAUUGGCGAGGANAAGUAUGUGGUGGAUCUAGUGUGUAAAAACAAUAGAAACCAUAUAUGAGUGGAGAUAUACUGGAAACAGUAAGUUGUUGAAGCUUAAUGACUUUGAAAGAAGGAAUCAUCGCAGUGGGGAGGAAGAAACCCAAACAUUACAUAGAAUGGCAGCAGUGGAGAAUACUGAGCAAUGUGCGAAAGCAUGACUCGGUGAUGUUUAGAAAAGUGAUAUGUUAAUAAAAAGGUAUCAUGUAGUACAGGCUAACCUUGUGCCAGCAGCAGCGGUAAGACAAGGUGUACAAGCUUUUUUCGGUAUAGUUGAAUCUAAAAGGUUUGUAGGUGUAAUAGUAUAUAAAAGGGGUUAAUCGAAUGCGUAGAGUAUGGUUGAAAUCAAAAGAUACUAUGUGGAAAAUCGAUAGCGAAGGCAAUUAACUGGUUCGUAUAGACACUGAAAGACGAAGGUUUGGGUAGCAAAUAGGAUUAGAGACCCUAGUAGUCCAGACAGUAAAAGAUGUACAUGUUGAAUUGAAGAAAAGUGUACUAUUGGAGUAGUAAGUUCGCAAGGCUGAAAUUUAAAAGAAUUAGUGAGAGUUUAGACAUAGGGUGGAUCAUGAAAGUUAAUUCGAUAGCACGCGAAGGAUCUUACCUAGGCUAGUAUUAUAGAUGUGUAUUCUUAGAAAUAAGGAAACAAGUCGAUAAUUCANGUAUUGCAUGGUUGUUUACAGUUCAUGAUGUGAAUUAUACAGUUAGGUCUUUGAAUGAACGANAAUCGUGUAUUAAUAAANGAGAAUAGUUAUAUGAAAUAUAAUUUGUGUGANGAAAUCUAANUUAA
rnacentral:rRNA from 1 species